rnacentral:rRNA from 1 species
GCUCAGUAACACGUGGAUAACCUACCCUUAGGACUGGGAUAACCCUGGGAAACUGGGGCUAAUACCGGAUAGGCAAUUAUUCCUGCAAUGGUUUUUUGUUUAAAUGUUUUUUCGCCUAAGGAUGGGUCUGCGGCCGAUUAGGUAGUUGGUUAGGUAAUGGCUUACCAAGCCGUUGAUCGGUACGGGUUGUGAGAGCAAGAGCCCGGAGAUGGAACCUGAGACAAGGUUCCAGGCCCUACGGGGUGCAGCAGGCGCGAAACCUCCGCAAUGUGAGAAAUCGCGACGGGGGGAUCCCAAGUGCCAUUCUUAACGGGAUGGCUUUUCAUUAGUGUAAAAAGCUUUUGGAAUAAGAGCUGGGCAAGACCGGUGCCAGCCGCCGCGGUAACACCGGCAGCUCUAGUGGUGGCAAUUUUUAUUGGGCCUAAAGCGUCCGUAGCCGGUUUAAUAAGUCUCUGGUGAAAUCCUGUAGCUUAACUGUGGGAAUUGCUGGAGAUACUAUUAGACUUGAGACCGGGAGAGGUUAGAGGUACUCCCAGGGUAGAGGUGAAAUUCUGUAAUCCUGGGAGGACCGCCUGUUGCGAAGGCGUCUAACUGGAACGGUUCUGACGGUGAGGGACGAAAGUUAGGGGCGCGAACCGGAUUAGAUACCCGGGUAGUCCUAACUGUAAACGAUGCGGACUUGGUGUUGGGUGGCUUUGAGCUGCUCCAGUGCCGAAGGGAAGCUGUUAAGUCCGCCGCCUGGGAAGA